CCUUCUCCUUCGGCACUUUCGAACUCUCCGGACCUGGAGAGAGAGCUUGUUCAUACUCUCCGUUCUCCAUCUAUCCUCCUCAGCGGAUCAGCUCGUGUGGACAGGUGCAUGAGAUCCGUCUGCAGCUGCCGUGAAGCCUUGCCGUGAGUUCUUCCCCUGUUUGUUGCUCGUUUGCUGUUCAUCUGUGUCCCUGUUCGUUCUUGUUUUUUUUUUGGGUGUUGCUGGACGUCAUUCUCCCUUGUCGGUCUCAAAAUAAUUUCGUAGAAAUGGCAAGUUCAUUCGCCUAUUCAUCUCCUUCCGUCCAAACUGAUGUGGCUUAGUGUAUGAGGUUCCUUUCUUCUUCCCCUGUUCAGCGCGGCAGAUUCAUCCUUCUCACUUUCAUGUUCUAUACUAAUCGAUUGAAGCGAGUGCUGUGGUUCGGGUAACGGGUUCUUGGUCACUCACUCUGCUGUCAGCCUCCGCAUCCUUCUCUGUUAUUAGGGGUUUUGUCAAACUCACAGCUUCCUUCAUUUUGCUUGCGGCAAUCGAAGACCAUGAGUGGCAAGAAACUUCCUCCUUAAUUUCCCUCUGUCUGUGUGUUGCUUCGUGGUUGCUGCCAUGGUUUCAUGAUUUUCUUUUCCCCAGCUCCUGUCGAUUUUUCCCAUUUCUGCCGUCGGUGGUUCUAAGAUAGCAUAAUUGACGCUGUACGUCUUGCUUACUAAUGAUGGAUGUUUGCGGAACAGAAUGAAGGCUUGUUUUGUAAAUAUAUCUUAUUGAUAUAAAUAUGAAAUUUAUGUAUUA